GGCUCUGUGGCGCAAUGGAUAGUGCAUUGGACUUCUAGGCUGUGACCUGAGCCAUUCAAAGGUUGUUGGUUCUAGUCCCACCAGAGUCG
rfam:Danio rerio chromosome 4, GRCz11 reference primary assembly.